rnacentral:antisense_RNA from 1 species
GGCUUUGGGGAGGGGGUGGGAGAGACGACAGGUCUGGGAUCAGGGAGUCUUCAAGGCCCCCGCUGAGGGGACAGCGAAUCUACCAUUGAACCGUGCACAGGGGACAUGGACAAAAUGAGACGCGACAGGGACAAGAGCAUUUUGCUCUGCUUCCAGGAAACAUCAAGUUGCUUGUCUGGAGAUGGAGCCACUACGGGCAGGGCCUGGGCGCCUGGAGUCGGGCAUGAAAGAAAAUAGCGCCUCAUCGCUCUUAUCUAAGCCCAGAGGUCGACUUCGCUUGAAAAGAUCGAGAAUGGAGGAGGGGAUCGGCACUCACUUGCAGACAUCAACAGUUUCCAGAAAAUUCGGUUCAAUUCCUUCACCACGGACCCACCAACCAAGGAGCUGGCAAAACCCGCUAACCAACCAGGAGAACACAGACCCGGUUUGUCUUUUGACAACCGAGUGGAACUGACGGGGCCGGCGCCUGCCCUGCGGGUCCCCUCCCUUGGCUGAGAAGAAAACCAAAUAAACCUUGAACAGCC